GAUGAAGAACGUAGCGAAAUGCGAUAAGUAAUGUCAAUUGCAGAAUUCAGUGAAUCAUCGAAUCUUUGAACGCACAUUGCGCCCCUUGGUAUUCCGAGGGGCAUGCCUGUUCGAGCGUCAUUAUAACCCCUCAAGCUCAGCUUGGUGUUGGGGCCUGCUGCACUGGCAGCCCUUAAAAUCAGUGGCGGCGCCAUCUGGCUCUAAGCGUAGUAAUUCUUCUCGCUAUGGAGUCCUGGUGGAUGCUUGCCAUCAACCCCCAAUUUUUCUAUGGUUGACCUCGGAUCAGGUAGGGAUACCCGCUGAACUUAAGCAUAUCAAUAAGCGGAGGA
rnacentral:misc_RNA from 1 species